ensembl:lncRNA
CUGUGCCACAACCAGACAGUACAGAUUUACUCAGAAUAUGGUGGGACAAUUGUGAUACCUGUGCCUUACUAGCCUGUUGCAUUUGCAUGUCAUCUCAUUUACCAUGCCCUGCCCCAUUUGCACUCCCUUGCAGUGGAAGACUCCUCAAACAAAAAGGAGAAAGUCAAGGGGGCAUCCUCAGAUCAGGCUGAGGCUAUGUCCAGGGUGGGUGAAGAUCCACCCCCACUGGAAGGGCCAGAUGUCAUCGUGCCUAUCUUCAAGGGUGAUGGAUCCUACCUGCUCUGUGGAUUUUGGGCUGAUGAGUCUGAAGCACCAGUCCAGGCCUGUGCUGAGCCCUGGCACCUUAUAACCCAGAAGCCCAUUUGCUGUGCUGAAGCCAUUGCGGAGGAAGAGUCCUCCUGCAAAAAGGAGGAAGGGGACUCAGCAUCUGCAGAGCAGGCCGAGGCUAUACCCAGGGUGUGUGGAGAUCCACCCCCACUGGAAGGGCCAGAUGCCAUCGUGCCUAUCCUCAAGGAAGAUGGAUCCUACCUGCUCUGUGGAUAUUGGGCUGAUGAGCCUGAAGCACCAGUCCAGGCCUGGGCUGGGGCCUGGCACUUUACAACCCAGCAGCCCAUCUGCAGUGCUGAGGACACUUUGGUGGAAGAGCCCUCAUUUCAAGAGGAGGAAGGUGUGGUGGCACCUGCAGACCAGGCCGAGGCUAAUCAGAGCCUCUGCUCUGCAUCACACCUCGGGGUGUGUGAAGAUCCACCCCCACUGGAAGGGCCAGAUGUCAUUGUGCCUAUUCUCAAGGAUGAUGGAUCCUACAUGCUCUGUGCAGUUUGGAUGGAUGAUCCUGAAGCGCCAGUCCAGGCCUGUGCUGGGGCCUGGCACCCUACAGCCCAGCAGCCCAUCUGCUGUGCUGAGGCCAUUGUGGUGAAAGAUGCCACCUACCAAAAAGAGAAAGUCAUGUUGGCAACUGCUGAUUGGGCUGAGGCUACCUCCAGGGUGUGUGGAGAUCCACCCCCACUGGAAGGGCCAGAUGUCAUCGUGCCUAUCCUCAAGGAUGAUGGAUCCUACUUGCUCUGUGGAUACUGGGCAGAUGAGCCUGAAGCACCAGUCCAGGCCUGGGCUGGGGCUCUGCACCCUACAGCCCAGCAGCCCAUCUGCUGUGCGGAGGCCAUUGUGGUGGAAGAUGCCUCCAGCCAGAAGGAGAAAAUAGAGAUGGCAUCUGUGGAGCAGACUGAGGCCACACCCAGGUAAAUCUGCAGAUGGGGUCUUUCUUUCUUUCUUUCUUUCUUUCUUUCUUUCUUUCUUUCUUUCUUUCUUUCUUUUUUUGUGUGAAUAUCUGGAGAUUUGUGACACGGUGGGAGACAAUGUGCAACUGGAGUCCAUUUAUAGCAUUCAAAGUUCCUCCCAAGUAGACUCUGUCUAAGGAGGGCCCCAAACACUUUCCAUGUCAGCCCCAUGUCCAGCCUCCAUUGGACAGCUGCAGAAGUUUCCCUGGGAAAGUCACCAGGCCAGGUCAUUCCUAAUGCCACUGACUCUCUGUGGCCCAUUGAGAGAAUGACCACUCGCUCAGCCUACUGGUUGUCUCUCAUCAGCCCCCCCACCCCACAGUACAAUGGUAGAUACAGGGAAUGUCCACUGCACCCAUGCACUCCUUAGUGCUGAGGGA